rnacentral:rRNA from 1 species
GAUGAACGCUGGCGGCGUGCCUAAUACAUGCAAGUCGAGCGAACAGACGAGGAGCUUGCUCCUCUGACGUUAGCGGCGGACGGGUGAGUAACACGUGGAUAACCUACCUAUAAGACUGGGAUAACUUCGGGAAACCGGAGCUAAUACCGGAUAAUAUAUUGAACCGCAUGGUUCAAUAGUGAAAGACGGUUUUGCUGUCACUUAUAGAUGGAUCCGCGCCGCAUUAGCUAGUUGGUAAGGUAACGGCUUACCAAGGCAACGAUGCGUAGCCGACCUGAGAGGGUGAUCGGCGACGCGGGAAGUGAGACACGAGCCAGACACCUACGGGAGGCAGCAGUAGGGAAUCUUCCGAAAUGGGCGAAAGCUUGAAGGAGCGACGCAGGGUGAGUGAAGAAAGGCUUCGGAUCGUAAAACUCUGUUAUUAGGGAAGAACAAAUGUGUAAGUAACGAUGCACGUCUUGACGGUACCUAAUAAGAAAGCCACGGCUAACUACGU